rnacentral:rRNA from 1 species
UACAGAGGUGGCAAGCGUUGUUCGGAUUUACUGGGCGUAAAGGGUGCGUAGGCGGUUCUGUGUGUCGGAUGUGAAAUCCCACGGAUUAUCCGUGGAACUGCAUUCGAAACUGCAGGGCUGGAGUGCAGGAGAGGAAGGUGGAAUUCUCGGUGUAGCGGUGAAAUGCGUUGAUAUCGAGAGGAACGCCGGAGGCGAAGGCGACCUUCUGGACUGCAACUGACGCUGAGGCACGAAAGUCAGGGGAGCAAACAGG